rnacentral:rRNA from 1 species
GACGAACGCUGGCGGCGUGCUUAACACAUGCAAGUCGAACGGAAAGGCCCUGCUUUUGUUGGUUGCUCGAGUGGCGAACGGGUGAGUAACACGUGAGUAACCUGCCCUUGACUUUGGGAUAACUUCAGGAAACUGGGGCUAAUACCGGAUAGGAGCUCCUGCUGCCUGUUGGGGGUUGGAAAGGUUCGGCGGUUGGUGAUGUACUCGCAGCUUAUCAGCUUGUUGGUGGGGUAGUGGCUUACCAAGGCUUUGACGGGUAGCCGGCCUGAGAGUGUGACCGGCCACAUUGGGACUGAGAUACGGCCCAGACUCCUACGGGAAGCAGCAGUGGGGAAUAUUGCACAAUGGGCGGAAGCCUGAUGCAGCAACGCCGCGUGCGGGAUGACGGCCUUCGGGUUGUAAACCGCUUUCGCCUGUGACGAAGCGUGAGUGACGGUAAUGGGUAAAGAAGCACCGGCUAACUACGUG